rnacentral:rRNA from 1 species
AUUGAACGCUGGCGGCAGGCCUAACACAUGCAAGUCGAGCGGAUGAAGGGAGCUUGCUCCUGGAUUCAGCGGCGGACGGGUGAGUAAUGCCUAGGAAUCUGCCUGGUAGUGGGGGAUAACGUCCGGAAACGGGCGCUAAUACCGCAUACGUCCUGAGGGAGAAAGUGGGGGAUCUUCGGACCUCACGCUAUCAGAUGAGCCUAGGUCGGAUUAGCUAGUUGGUGGGGUAAAGGCCUGCCAAGGCGACGAUCCGUAACUGGUCUGAGAGGAUGAUCAGUCACACUGGAACUGAGACACGGUCCAGACUCCUACGGGAGGCAGCAGUGGGGAAUAUUGGACAAUGGGCGAAAGCCUGAUCCAGCCAUGCCGCGUGUGUGAAGAAGGUCCUCGGAUUGUAAAGCACUUUAAGUUGGGAGGAAGGGCAGUAAGUUAAUACCUUGCUGUUUUGACGUUACCAACAGAAUAAGCACCGGCUAACUUCGUG